UACGUAGGGGGCAAGCGUUGUCCGGAAUCAUUGGGCGUAAAGCGCGUGUAGGCGGCCCGGUAAGUCCGCUGUGAAAGUCGGGGGCUCAACCCUCGAAUGCCGGUGGAUACUGUCGGGCUAGAGUGCGGAAGAGGCGAGUGGAAUUCCUGGUGUAGCGGUGAAAUGCGUAGAUAUCAAGUGGAACACCAGUGGCGAAGGCGAGUCUCUGGACAUUUCCUGACGCUGAGGCACGAAAGCCAGGGGAGCAAACGGG
rnacentral:rRNA from 1 species